rnacentral:rRNA from 1 species
AACCAACAGGGAUUGCCCUAGUAACGGCGAGUGAAGCGGCAACAGCUCAAAUUUGAAAUCUGGCCUUCUGGUCCGAAUUGUAAUUUGUAGAGGAUGCUUUUGGUUAGGUACCUUUCGAGUUCCUUGGAACAGGACGCCUUAGAGGGUGAGAGCCCCGUACGAUUGGAUACCGAGCCUCUGUAAAGCUCCUUCGACGAGUCGAGUAGUUUGGGAAUGCUGCUCUAAAUGGGAGGUAAAUUUCUUCUAAAGCUAAAUACCGGCCAGAGACCGAUAGCGCACAAGUAGAGUGAUCGAAAGAUGAAAAGCACUUUGAAAAGAGGGUUAAAUAGUACGUGAAAUUGUUGAAAGGGAAGGGCUUAUGACCAGACCUUUGCCUUGCGGAUCAUCCGGUGUUCUCACCGGUGCACUCCGCUUGGUUGAGGCCAGCAUCAGUUUUGGCGGCCGGAUAAAGACUUUAGGAAUGUGACUCCUCCGGGAGUGUUAUAGCCUGCUGUGUAAUACGGCCGCUGGGACUGAGGACCGCGCUUCGGCUAGGAUGCUGGCAUAAUGGUCAUCAGCCACCCGUCUUGAAACACGGACCAAGGAGUCGAACAUUUAUGCGAGUUUUUGGGUGUUAAACCCUCAAGCGUAAUGAAAGUGAACGGAGGUGAGAGCCCUUACGGGUGCAUCAUCGACCGAUCCUGAUGUCUUCGGAUGGAUUUGAGUAAGAGCAUAACUGUUCGGACCCGAAAGAUGGUGAACUAUGCGUGGAUAGGGUGAAGCCAGAGGAAACUCUGGUGGAGGCUCGCAGCGG